UACGAAGGGGGCGAGCGUUGUUCGGAUUUAUUGGGCGUAAAGAGCGUGUAGGCGGCCAGAUAGGUCCGUUGUGAAAACUCGAGGCUCAACCUCGAGACGCCGAUGGAAACCAUUUGGCUAGAGUCCGGAAGAGGAGAGUGGAAUUCCUGGUGUAGCGGUGAAAUGCGCAGAUAUCAGGAGGAACACCGGUGGUGUAGACGGCUUUCUGGACCGUAACUGACGCUGAGACACGAAAGCGUGGGUAGCAAACAGG
rnacentral:rRNA from 1 species